UAAAAUUAUUUUAAAUAAUAUAUUAGAAAUGAAAUGUUAUUCGUUUUUAAAGGUAUCUAGUUCUUUAAGAAAUAAAUUUAAUUUAGAAAUUUUAUAUUAUUUAAUUAAAUAGAUUAAUUAAAUAACUAUUUAAUUUUAAUAUUUUAUGGGAUAAGCUGUAAAAUAAAAUUUUAAAAAUUCAUAAAUAAAAUAAUAAAUAUAAACUUAAAAAUAGUUAUUGUUAAUAAAAAUGUUAUAAUUUAUUUUUUAAAAGAUAUUAUUUAUUUUGAUUUUAAAUUUUUAUUAAAGUAUUUAUUUUAAUAAAAAAAAUAAAAUAAUAAUGAUAAAAUUAGUAUAUAAUAUUGUAAAUAUAAGUUUAAUUGAUAAGUUUUUAUAAAGAACUCGGCAAAAAUAAUGUUCGCCUGUUUAACAAAAACAUGUCUUUAUGAAUUGUAUUUAAAGUCUAACCUGCCCACUGAAAUAAAUUUAAAUGGCCGCAGUAUUUUGACUGUGCAAAGGUAGCAUAAUCAUUAGUCUUUUAAUUGAAGGCUGGAAUGAAUGGUUGGACGAAAUAUUAACUGUUUCAUAAAAAUUUUUAUUAGAAUUUUAUUUUUUAGUUAAAAAGCUAAAAUAUAUUUAAAAGACGAGAAGACCCUAUAAAUCUUUAUAUUUAAAUUAUUGUAAUUUUUUAGAAUUAUUUUAUUAUUAUAAUUAAUAAUAUUUUAUUGGGGUGAUAUUAAAAUUUAAUAAACUUUUAAUUUUUUUUUUCAUUAAUUUAUGAAUAAAUGAUCCGUUAUUAACGAUUAAAAAAUUAAGUUACUUUAGGGAUAACAGCGUAAUUUUUUUGGAGAGUUCAUAUCGAUAAAAAAGAUUGCGACCUCGAUGUUGGAUUAAGAUAUAAUUUUAGGUGUAGUCGCUUAAAUUUUAAGUCUGU
rnacentral:rRNA from 1 species